rnacentral:lncRNA from 1 species
UUUUGGAUCUUGUUUAGUGAGGGAGGGCCAAAAUGACUUGAGUUGAUUUUCCAUCGCCUUAUCAAACUGUGACAUAUAAAAUUUGAACUAUCUUAUUAGGAGCGGCAGAGGCAUGAAUUAUUUUCUAGAUAAGAUGAUUUAUUAUAUUGACCCCCUUUAAUAAACAUGAACAAUUGUUAGUACUGUUGAAGAUAUAGUUAAAUAUGAUUUUUCUGACAGUGUUAACUUUUAGAUAAAAUGAGAUGAUUGCUCAAUUCAACGUGGUACACCAGGGCAUGUAGGGAUCCAGGGUCUAAAUCUCAUGACCUCCACCCAUUAGAAGGAAAAAUAAAAAAGAAUUUUCACAUGUUUGACUUAUAGAAAAUAAUCAAAUUAAUAAAAACAUAGUGUACCUAACAAUUUAUCUUUUAGAGGAGGUUAUCACACGAUCAACACAUGUAUGAGCU